CAACUGAAGGAGGAGGCAGUCAAAAGGAAAAACACAAAUAUCUCCAAGAUGGCACUUACAAAAAGCAACAACAAUGACAAAGUAUAAAUACAAACACACACCUUGAAGUUUAUGUUCUUACUCAAAUGCAAGCAUCAACAAUGGCCUACUGUCAGCAAGUUAAAUGGCUGGGGCUGUUUCAGUCUCCCAUUACAUGAAGAAUCUUCUGGAGAGGAAAGAAGAAACCAUGUCUAGACAAGGUGCUGGAAAGACCCAGGGAAGACACAGAUUUGUUCCUUUCUCCACCAUGCCUCACUAUGUGUCACCAAACUUAAUUCAGCAUCAGUGCUCCAAAUACUCCAUCCUACAAUUAGAGAAACCACUGAAUUCCGAUAUCCUCCACCCAAAUGGUAAUGAAGAUUGGAGAAAGUGACGCCCAUGCAUAGCGGAGAAGUGGAUUGCAGAUAUAACAAGGACAUCAAACGUCACAGGAAGGAAUUUCUAUCUAGAUUUGU
rnacentral:lncRNA from 10 species